rnacentral:lncRNA from 1 species
AAACUCAACUCUCAGAAGUAAGAAUCAGAUGAGGGAAGGUGAAGAUUAUUACAGGCACAAAGAACAGAAGUGCAAAGAGUUGGAGAAAGAUCAUUAAUCGUUCUGGGAAUCAGAAGCGUCCUGUGAUACGCAAAAUGAGGAGGGCAAAUUUCUCAAAACGGAAUUGCUGGAUCAAAGGAGAUGUACACAUAGAAGACUUUUGUUAUGUCCUGCUUCAUUUCCCUCCUGGAAGAUGCAUCAACCUCUACGCCCACCAGCAGCCAAGUGCUAAUUUUUGAAAGUACACUGUAAUGCAUCCAAUGUAGACAAUGGUGUGGGUGAAUUUAAAGCUGCUUUUUAGUAAAUUCACAAGGAAAUAUCUGAGUCGGUUAAAAAGAAGUUCCUCUUUUCCGACUACAUUUCCAGUCAUAGGAACAAUGAGGUCUCUGGAACAUUCCAAUAGACCAAAUUUGGAAAAGAAAGCCAUUACAUUGUGGAAAAUUUAAAGGCUAAGACAUUCCAAAGACAAAUGAUGAAUCGAAAACAGUAUCGACAAAAUUUAACUUCAGUUUAUAGCCGACAAACUGCUACAAUUUUGCACAUGGGUGCACAUGUGGAAGCUUUUCCAUAAGAGACAGCAGCCACCACAAAUAUUUGUGAAGAUGUGCUUUCUCCUUUGUCUAGGGUUUACGCUCUCCAGUUUAGAUUGAAUUCAUGUGGUAUCCUGGGUUGUUCAUUGUUGUAAUGUUUUACUUUGUUCGGAAAUUGAUGCUAUUGUCAUUCAACUCUCUGAGUGACACAUCAACACAGCCUUCUUUGAGUGCCAAGCAAUAUGGAUUACAGAGUAAACACAGUGCAGAAACCACAAGUUCUCAAGCCUGCAAAUCACGAUUAGUUCAGCAAGAAUCCAGGACACUGAAGGAAAGAUGAAGAGAAACAACCCUUCAAAAGUGAAGAAGGAGCAAUUAUCACCUCUAUAUAUUUUGAAUCAUACUCUAGGAAAUGUUAGAAUAAAAGAUGAAAAUUGAAGACUAUCUCUUUGUGCAAUUAAUCUUUAUGGAAAUGACCUCCACUGAUCAAAGGUAUUGGAAGUUAAAGGUUUUCCGCUAAGUUUGGAGCUGAAGAAAAAAGCUGACAGUUGAAAUGACCAACUUCACCUUAAGUGUAUUGAGUAAAAUGAUUUUGUAUGAAGCUUAAAAUAAAAACAAACCUGCUUUGCCCCCAAAUUUGGUUAUCUUUCUCUGCAAUGCUGUAAGAAAUCAUACUGUGUUGAGAAUGAUAUUGUUGCAGUAAGAUUUAAUGUUGUUUAUUGAAACUUGGAGUUUAAAAAUUGGAUUAGAUUCACAUUGUUCUGCUUUAGUGAACUUGAUCUGGAAUGUGAUGCCAAUAAAAUUUCUACAAAUACUCACUUAUACUUUCUGAUGUUUUAGUAGAUAAGCCUGGACACACAUUAAUUUUAAUAUAGUACAUAUCAAGUUGUUUCUCUCACUCUUUUCGAAACAAAAGAAUUUAGAUAUGUUUAAGCCC